GACGAACGCUGGCGGCGUGCUUAACACAUGCAAGUCGAACGAAGUGGCGAACGGGUGAGUAACGCGUAAUCAACCUGCACUUCAGAGGGGGACAACAGUUGGAAACGACUGCUAAUACCGCAUACUGAAGGAGGGGAUUGCGUCUGAUUGCCAAGUUGGAGGGGUAACGGCCCACCAAGGCGAUGAUCAGUAGACCGACUGAGAGGAGUGACGGCAAAAGUGGGACCGAGACACGGACCAGACUCCUACGGGAGGCAGCAGUGGGGAAUCUUUCGCAAUGGACGAAAGUCUGGCGGAGCAACGCCGCGUGAGUGGUGACGGCCUUCGGGUUGUAAAGCUCUGUUAAUCGGGACGCGGUACCGGAAUAGAAAGCCACGGCUAACUACGUGCCAGCAGCCGCGGUAAUAC
rnacentral:rRNA from 1 species